GUUUGAUCCUGGCUCAGAGCGAACGUUAGCGGCAGGCUUAACACAUGCAAGUCGAGCGACAAAGGGGCUUCGGCCCUGAGUAGAGCGGCGGACGGGUGCGUAACACGUGGAUAAUCUGCCUCGUGGCGGGGGAUAACAGUCCGAAAGGACUGCUAAUACCGCAUGUCAGGUCGGAAACCCUGGUUUCUGACGAAAAAGAGGGCGCCCGCAAGGGGCUCUCACCACGAGAUGAGUCCGCGGCCCAUCAGCUAGUUGGCGGUGUAAUAGACCACCAAGGCUAAGACGGGUAGCUGGUCUGAGAGGAUGACCAGCCCACACUGGGACUGAGACACGGCCCAGACUCCUACGGGAGGCAGCAGUGGGGAAUAUUGGACAAUGGGCGAAAGCCUGAUCCACGCCACUGCCGCGUGAGUGA
rnacentral:rRNA from 1 species